UGUGUGUAUAUAUGUGUGUGUGUGUGUGUGUGUGUACACACACACACACACACACACACACACAUAUAUAUAUAUAUA